GCCAACGACCAUACCACGUUGAAUACACCAGUUCUCGUCCGAUCACUGAAGUUAAGCAACGUCGGGCGUAGUUAGUACUUGGAUGGGUGACCGCUUGGGAACACUACGUGCCGUCGGCU
rnacentral:rRNA from 2 species